GAUGAACGCUGGCGGCGUGCCUAACACAUGCAAGUCGAGCGGAGAAUAAGGAGGAGCUUGCUCCACCUUAUACUUAGCGGCGGACGGGUGAGUAACGCGUGGGCAACCUGCCCUAUACAGGGGGAUAACACUAAGAAAUUGGUGCUAAUACCCCAUAAGCUGACGAGACGGCAUCGUUUUGUUGGAAAAGAUUUAUCGGUAUAGGAGGGACCCGCGUCUGAUUAGCUAGUUGGUGAGGUAACGGCUCACCAAGGCGACGAUCAGUAGCCGACCUGAGAGGGUGAUCGGCCACAUUGGAACUGAGACACGGUCCAAACUCCUACGGGAGGCAGCAGUGGGGAAUAUUGGUCAAUGGUCGGAAGACUGAACCAGCCAAGUCGCGUGAGGGAAGACAGCCCUAUGGGUUGUAAACCUCUUUUAUAUGGGAAUAACAGGCACUACGUGUAGUGUUUUGCAUGUACCAUUAUGAAUAAGCAUCGGCUAACUCCGUGCCAGCCGCCGCCGUAAUAC
rnacentral:rRNA from 1 species